UCAUUUAUAUAGUGCACAUAUUAAAAUUGGAAUGCUACAGAGAAAAUGAGCAUAGCCCCUCUGAAAAGAUGACAUGCAAAAUCUGAAAUGUUCCAUAUUUUU